UAGGUUAUGUUCGACAUUGAAGUUCGUCAAAAGUCAGACUGCGUGAAACAAACCGCUCCGCUUCACAUUUUGGUCAAUUUUUUCCCAUAAACACAGAAUUGAAUAAAAAAAUUGACUCAAAAAGAAAUGUGAUAUUGAUCGUUAAAAAUAGCUAUUCAAUAUGAAUUGAUUAUGUGCAACAACAUUGAAGUAUAGGAGAAUUUACCCAUCAUAUAUUUCACUUUUACUGAAACUAUAAUCGGAAGAUGGCCCCCAUGAGUCAUGUGAAUACAGGCUACCCUGAGCUCGAUGAAAAAAUUUUAGAAUGGUUCAAAUGGAACAAGGACACUAAAGCUGAUGCAGAGAUACAAACCCUAAUAAGAAAUGGAGAAACAAAAACUUUAUCCGAGUUAUUCCUGAAGCGACUCGAAUUUGGAACUGCGGGAAUUCGAGGUCGGAUGGGUCCAGGUUUCAAUCAAAUGAAUGAUUUAGUAAUCAUUCAAACUAGCCAGGGUCUUGCGAAAUAUUUAUUAGCGACUUUAAGCGAUGUAGAAAAUAAAGGAGUAAUUUUGGGGUAUGAUGGAAGGUACAACAGUAAAAGAUUUGCAGAGUUGACGACCGCAAUCUUCAUGAAUCUGAAAAUAAAAGUCUACAUGUACUCGAAAGUUUGCCCAACGCCUUUCAUUCCAUAUGGAGUUUUAAAAUACAAAUGCGCAGCCGGUGUUAUGUUUACUGCGUCACAUAAUCCAAAAGAAGACAACGGCUACAAAGUCUACUGGGAAAAUGGGGCCCAAAUUAUUCCCCCACACGACAAAGGAAUCCAAAAGUGCAUCCUGGAAAGUCUUGAGCCUCUAAAUUCCUCUUGGAACACGACACGACUUUAUCAGAGUUCUCUUUUCGUAGACCCCUUGGAUGAAGUCGUGAAGUCUUAUUUUGAGGAUCUCAAAGACGGCGUUCUGUAUCCGGAGACUAAUAAGAACUCCAUUUUAAAAUUUACGUACACUGCCAUGCACGGAGUAGGAUUGACUUACAUGACUACUGCCUUUGAAACUGCAAAUUUUAAGCCUUUCAUUGUCGUUGAGGAACAAAAGGAUCCAGACCCCGAAUUUCCUACAGUAAAAUUUCCCAAUCCAGAAGAAGGAAAAAGUGCUUUGAAUCUGAGCAUCGAGACUGCGAAUAGAAACGCUUCUACAAUUAUUUUAGCGAACGAUCCCGACGCAGAUAGACUCGCGUGCGCUGUUAAAGGCAAAAACAACGAGUGGAAAAUUUUUUCUGGAAAUGAACUCGGUGCCCUCUUAGGAUGGUGGAUGUUACAUUCUUUUCGAGUCAGGUAUCCUGGAAAUAACAUAGCUGAUGCCUGCAUGAUGGCUUCAACAGUGUCGAGUAAAAUUCUCCAUUCAAUGGCUAAAAAAGAAGGGUUUCAAUUCGAAGAAACUCUGACAGGAUUUAAGUGGAUGGCAAACAAAGGUAUCGAAUUGAUGAGAGAAGGAAAACACGUUCUCUUUGCCUACGAAGAAGCCAUUGGUUUCAUGUGUGGUUCGAAAGUCCUCGACAAGGAUGGCAUCAGUGCAGGAAGUCGACUUGCUGAAAUGGCUGCUUAUCUAGAAACCUUGGGCCUUUCUCUCGAGGAUAAAUUAAAAGAAAUAUACGCAGAGUAUGGACACCAUAUCAGCGAAAAUUCUUAUUGGAUUUGCCACGAGCAGGAGACUAUCAAAAAUAUUUUCGAGCGACUCAGGAACUACAAUGGAAAUUCGAAAGAGUAUCCAUCCAGUAUUCUUGGAGGAAAAUAUCCAAUAAUUGGUGUAAGAGAUCUAACGACUGGUUAUGAUAACACAAAGCCUGGCAAUAAGGCAGUUUUGCCCACCUCAAAAUCCUGUCAGAUGAUUACAUUCACUUUUAAAAAUGGCCUCGUUACAACAAUCAGAACGAGCGGUACGGAACCUAAAAUUAAAUACUACAGUGAACUCUGCGGCUCUCCAGACCAAAAAGAUUUAAGUGUCUUGAAAAAUACUUUGAAAGAGAUGGUCAGUGCUAUAGAAUCGGAAUUUCUUCAACCGGAAGUUAAUUGCCUUAUACCUCGUAGUGGAUAAGAAUAGCUUGAGGCAACAAAUCCUCUGUUAUAGAAGUUUUUAUUCAAGAAUUUCGCUUACAUUCUAUUUCUUAAAAGAGAUUCUUUGUUAUCGUUAUCUCUUUUCAAUUGAGAAUCUAAUUCAUUGAAAAUGUUUGUUGAAUCAAGUUAUCUACUACCAAAUUCGCUCUAUCAUUCCGUUUUUUACACGAAUUGAUUAUUUUUCUAUAAAUUGUUGUAUAUUCGUAAGUCCAGGAAACUACUAACGGGAUUUUAAUGGAUUGAAAACAAAACUGACUCGAUGAAGAAUAUAAGAAGAUUUGAAACGUGAAUUACAAAACGCAAUAGCAAAAGUCAUCCCGUAUUCUUCGAGGAAAAUGUCCUGUAGUUAAGAGAUCCAACUUUUGGAUUUAAUAAAAUCAUUCCUGGGAGUAAUUCACUUUUUCUUUCGAAAUGCAUACAAAUGAUUAUCUUAAAUUUAAAAAUUACGAUUCUCCAGAGUCCGGAACAAGCGAACAUCUUGCAAACUACUUUCAAAAUGAUACUAUAAAAUCAGAUAUCUUCAACUUGCAAGUGAACUAUUUUUUACGUCAGUGAAUAACAAUUUUAAACUUAAAGAGAAUGUAUGCCAAAAUGUCAUUUCAUUUACUGAAAGAUAAUCUUUGUUGUCAUUAGUUUCCUACAGCUGUGAAUGUAAUUGAUUGCAUUUUUUUGCUCAAUGUAGAUAUUUACUAAAAACAGAUUGUUAUUGAUUUUUUUACACAAAUUUAUGUUUAUAUAGAAAUCGUUGCAUACUUGUAAGCAGCACUAUGACAAAAUGUUGAAAUAAAAAAAAAUGUAAUGUUA